rnacentral:rRNA from 1 species
CAGUCGCCGCGGUAAUACGAAGGGGGCUAGCGUUGCUCGGAAUUGCUGGGCGUAAAGCGCACGUAGGCGGACCGAUAAGUCGGGGGUGAAAUCCUGGAGCUCAACUCCAGAACUGCCUUCGAAACUGCUGAACUAGAGGCUUGGAGGGGGAAGCGGAAUUCUUGGUGUAGCGGUGAAAUGCGUAGAUAUCAAGAGGAACACCGGUGGCGAAGGCGGCUUCCUGGACAAGUCCUGACUCUGAAACACGAAAGCUAGGGGAGCGAAUGGGAUUAGAUACCCCGGUAGUCCCUGUCUCUUAUAC